rnacentral:rRNA from 1 species
UUGAUCCUGGCUCAGGAUGAACGCUGGCGGCGUGCUUAACACAUGCAAGUCGAACGGUGAAAGAGAGCUUGCUCUCUGGAUCAGUGGCGAACGGGUGAGUAACACGUGAGCAAUCUGCCCCUGACUCUGGGAUAAGCGCUGGAAACGGCGUCUAAUACCGGAUACGAGCUGCGAAGGCAUCUUCAGCAGCUGGAAAGAACUUCGGUCAGGGAUGAGCUCGCGGCCUAUCAGCUAGUUGGUGAGGUAAUGGCUCACCAAGGCGUCGACGGGUAGCCGGCCUGAGAGGGUGACCGGCCACACUGGGACUGAGACACGGCCCAGACUCCUACGGGAGGCAGCAGUGGGGAAUAUUGCACAAUGGGCGCAAGCCUGAUGCAGCAACGCCGCGUGAGGGACGACGGCCUUCGGGUUGUAAACCUCUUUUAGCAGGGAAGAAGCGAAAGUGACGGUACCUGCNGAAAAAGCACCGGCUAACUU